rnacentral:lncRNA from 1 species
CAGUAAUGUUUUAGCAAGUUUUGACAAAACAAAAAAUCUUGGCUUGUUAAGAAAAAUGUCAUGCAACUUGGACAUUUCUCCCCAAAAUGUACCAAUGUCAGUUUCAGGGGAAGUGCAAAGUGGAAGUUCAUCUAAUGGGGUCAACUGAUAGUCACUGAACUCAUCUUGUAGCUGUGUUGUCUCUUCAUAUCGUUACGUAGCUCAGGUAAACAGUCCUACGUUUUGACUUUUGGUUACAUUGAAAAAGACCGAUAAAACCGAAGGUCGUAUUACUUCUAAAUACCGGAAACAAUUCCGGUCAGAAAUCCGGGUGAAACGGGUAAUGUUAGAAAUUCCCGGGACCCGCCGGGUAAAGAAAAACUCCCGGGUGAGAGGUGAAAAUAACGGGUGUCACCCGCAAAAAACGGGUGAGUUGACAGGUAUGAUAGUAUCAUUUUUGAUAAAA